CUCAGUCCUGGCCAGGAUGCGUGAACUGUUUAAGGAUUUUUAAAAAUGUUUUCAUAAAUAAUGCUGAGGCGGAUUUCAUUCACAGAUCCUGGGCUUUCGUGGACAUAUCCAUUUCCUCCUCAUCACCAAUUGGAACGGAUGAUGGUAAAUAUUCUCCAACUUCGUUGCUGGUGGGCAUAGUUUCUUGUACUUCAGAAUCAGUGGGUUCAUUUGUUUCUGUUAACUCUCCCGGACUUUCAUCAAGUGAGCAAAUUCCUUGUGAGUUAACUGGACUUCUCACAGCCAGCUUUUUUGCUUGGUGAUCUCAUAGGCAUAGGCUUAGAAAUCUUUUCUGGAUCAGGAACACUUUCCUCAGAAGUAGUAAGGAAACCACAAGGUAAUAGUAGAUCUCUGUGCAACACUCGCAUAGGAGCAUUCUUAUACUUGGAACGAACUUUAUAAACC